AUGGAAUCACCUACCCAGGUCUUCAUGUUCCUGCUGCUCUGGGUAUCUGGUACCUGUGGGGACAUUGUGAUGACCCAGUCUCCAUCCUUUCUGGCUGUGUCAGCAGGAGAGAAAGUCACUGUGGGCUGCAAGUCCAGUCAGAGUCUUUUAUGGAGUAAAGACAAAAAAAACUACAUGGUCUGGUACCAGCAGAAACCAGGGCAGUCUCCUAAACUGCUGAUCUACUAUGCAUCCACUAGAGCAUCUGGGGUCCCUGAUCGCUUCACAGGCAGUGGAUCUGGGACAGAUUUCACUCUGACCAUCAGCAAUGUGCAGGCUGAAGACCUGGCAGUUUAUUACUGUCAGCAGAAUUAUGAUGCUCCUCCCACAGUGCUUCAGCCUCCUACACAAACCUCCUUAAGCAUUUAA